CCUACGGGGGGCAGCAGUGGGGAAUAUUGGACAAUGGGGGCAACCCUGAUCCAGCCAUGCCGCGUGUGUGAAGAAGGCCCUCGGGUUGUAAAGCACUUUCAGUGAGGAAGAACGCCUGGUGGUUAAUACCCAUCAGGAAAGACAUCACUCACAGAAGAAGCACCGGCUAACUCCGUGCCAGCAGCCGCGGUAAUACGGAGGGUGCGAGCGUUAAUCGGAAUUACUGGGCGUAACGCGCGCGUAGGUGGCUUGAUAAGCCGGUUGUGAAAGCCCCGGGCUCAACCUGGGAACGGCAUCCGGAACUGUCAAGCUAGAGUGCAGGAGAGGAAGGUAGAAUUCCCGGUGUAGCGGUGAAAUGCGUAGAGAUCGGGAGGAAUACCAGUGGCGAAGGCGGCCUUCUGGACUGACACUGACACUGAGGUGCGAAAGCGUGGGUAGCAAACAGGAUUAGAUACCCUUGUAGUC
rnacentral:rRNA from 1 species